rnacentral:rRNA from 1 species
AGGAACCGCAUAUAUUAUAAUUAUUUAAUUAUUGCCUCCAUUAUUCAUAUCCUUUUNAGUGAUAUAAUAAUGGGGGAAGGAUAAAUAAUUAAUUACUUAUAAUUAAGGCGGUGGCACAGAAUCGGAGGCCCCGACUGUUUACUAAAAACACAACACAGUGCAAUCAUUAAUAUGAUAGUAUACUGUGUGAAAUUUGCCCGAUGCCAUUAAUAUAAGAGAGGUCAUGGGGAACUGUGACUAAUCGAAAAUCUGGUUAAUAGCGGUCUUAACUAUGAGGAUCCUAAGGUAGCAAAAUAAGUUGGCCAUUAAAUGUGGUCCGGUAUCAAUAAUGUAACGAUGGCCUCACUGUCUCUACAACUUGCUCAGUCAAAUUGAA